rnacentral:rRNA from 1 species
AUUGAACGCUGGCGGCAGGCCUAACACAUGCAAGUCGAGCGAGCGGCGGACGGGUGAGUAAUGUAUGGGGAUCUGCCCGAUAGAGGGGGAUAACUACUGGAAACGGUGGCUAAUACCGCAUACUAUCGGAUGUACCCAUAUGGGAUUAGGUAGUUGGUGGGGUAAAGGCUCACCAAGCCGACGAUCUCUAGCUGGUCUGAGAGGAUGACCAGCCACACUGGAACUGAGACCCGGCCCAGCCUCCUACGGGAGGCAGCAGUGGGGAAUAUUGCACAAUGGGGUCAAUCCUGACGCAGCCAUGCCGCUUGAAUGAAGAAGGCCUUCGGGUUGUAAAGUUCUUUCGGUGGCUAGGCGUUACCUGCAGAAGAAGCACCGGCUAACUCCGUGCCAGCAGCCGCGGUAAUUC